UGCCUGCAUCAAAGGCAUAUGGAAGUUUCCGGGCCAGGGAUUGAAUCCCAGCUGCAGCUGUAACCUACUCCUCAGGCAUAAACACAGGAUCUUUUGACCCACUGAUCCAGGCUGGGGAUUGAACCCAUGCCUCUGCUGCGACCCACGCUGCUGCAGUCAGAUUCUUAACCCACUGCACCAUGGUGGGAAGUCCUUCAUUUUCUGUUUUUACUCUAGCUUUUAUACUGAUCACCAGAGAUUAAAAUAUAGAGUAUCACCAAGGAGAAAGAGAUCACACAAAGCUGGGCAUCUCCUCCACACAUCCAGGGAUCUUGACUGAAAGGGUUACUGCAUAAUCUUGCUAGUCUGGGGAACCUUACCCCCGGCAGGUUAAGAUGGCUUGUAGGUCCCAGGGCUGUUUUCAGAGUGGAGCCAAAGCUCAUCUUUAGGAUAUUUAUAGAGGCGACUAGAAAUCUCCAGUGCUGAUAAAGGCAAAGCAUUUGCACGCAGGGCUCACUCCCUUUUGCCAAAUCCUCUCUAUUUGUAGGAGUCGCUCCCUUGCUGAGGGUUAACUGCUCAGGAGGCUUUUGAUCUGUAUGUGCAAAAGCAACCAAAGUCCAUCCAGCAGGCAGCUCAGUUGCUUGCUCGCUCCUCUUCUCCUCUGUUUCGAGAUGACUUCCAAAUAGCCUUGUUCUGAUGGGUGUCAGAGAGUAACUGUUCUAAAAUUAAAGGGCAAGGAAGUCUUAAAAAAAAAAAAUCUGUUUUAAAACUUGGGCCCUGUAACUGAACCUUUCCCUCAGUGAGGUAGGCUUCUAAGGAGAGCUGGUUUUACAGCUGCAAGAUAAAUGAAAGGCCUGGAGGAUGUGAGAGCACUUCCUGAGGCUAUGGCUGGUGACUUGACAAGUCAUUUAUUCCAGGGCACAGCCUGGCCUCCCGCCAGGCCCUCCAGUGGAAGGCCAGCCCAAGAGAAACCCGAGCGAGGUGGCUGACCCCCAGCGUGGGUCCUCUGCUUCCCAGCGAGGGCCUUCCAGCAUCUGGUGGAUGUGCACAAUUAGUAAUGCUUUUGAGGAUAAUGAUUUGGUCUCAUGGAAAAAGGAGAAUUGGUCCAAGAUAAUGUCUGGUAAACUUUGACAUUCCACCCUGAAGUGAUCGUACACUCAUGUAGAAUCACUAAACAGCUGCACGAUCAUAUUACAGAACCUCCUUCAAGAGCCAACUUGUCAUUGAAUCCAUCCCCAAAUCCCAGAUUUUCUCAAACAAAAGGAGCCCUGAUGUGGAAGGAGCUGCAAUCAGCCAGAUGGAAGAGAGGGGUAGGUUGCCAAGACUGGAAGCGAAGCACCCUUUGAGAUGUUUUGGCCUGAUCCCUCUCAUUUUGUACAUAAAAAAAACAGAGGUCCAGAGAAGAGGAGAGAAUUUCCCAAGGUCGUUCAGCGGAAGAACUCGGAUAAGGGCACGCACAAUAGACUCCCCAGGCCGAAGUGACCAUUCACCUCUUAGGGUUGCACGGGCCUCCCUGACCCCAUUCCUUAGAGAACCUCUGAGGGUGAGAGUCUAGGCCAGAGGGGCAGUGAUGAAAUCUCUGUAGUGAAAAGAAACAAAGCUGUAUGGAGAGAAACUGCCAAAGGAGAAAUCUUGCUGUUGUAGAGGGGAUGGACGAGGAAGCGGUGGCAAAGUCCAGGUUUUCUUAAGCCUUGAACACAAAGGUAAAUGAGAUGAAGUGCCUUAUCUAGGUCUGGGGCCCUGCUAAGAAUGCCACCACUGAGGUUUGUGCAGAGGAUCCAACCGAAAAGAGCCAAUAAUCUUAGUCAUUCAAUAGCAAGUCUUAAGCACCUGCUUUGUGUGGGACAUGGUACCAGGUGGUACAGGAGUGAAGAAGGUGAGGUGUGGUAGAGAGUUUACGUUCCAAGAGCCAAGGUCAUGCCCAUUAAUGACAAUGUUUUUUCAGGUACACACACACACACACACACACACACACACACGAGUGAGCAUUAAGGCAUGGAGUAUUUCAUAUUGCUCAAUUUUUUCUCUUCCUUCUGAGCUCACAUCCUGUCUUUUUGCCCAUUUUUAAUAUAACUUUCUCAAUUCUUAACAAGAGCCUGUCCAUAAAAUAUUGGCAACCCAAGCAGGGUUCUCUGGAGUGUUUUGAAACUGCAUUGGUUGAUGAAAUCCAAAAGCCUGGCAACCAUGGUUGUGGUUGAAAGGCCAUGGGCUCUAGGGACAGACAGACCUGGAUUGAAAUCAGACUUCAGCUAUUUAUUCCCUAUGGGACCUUGGGAAAUCUUAACAUUCAGAGUUCGAGUUUCCUAUGUAUGAUACAUAAAGUCCCCAGGACAGUGGGGACUCCAGGUGGAAGUACUCACAAAUAUUAUUGCCUUUAUCUUAGAAUUAUUUUGCGUGUGUUUGUAUAUGCACGUAUGCUCACCUGCAUUGUACCAGGUGCUAUACAGAACAUAGGAGACCUUAAAUAGCCUUUUCUCUCAGAGAGUUAAAACUCUUGCUGGUAAGACAGCUUACCUCACCAGAAGUCAGAGGAGAGACAGGAAAUCUAGCAUAUCUUUAUCCUUCUCCUGAACAGUUUCUUUGGUUUGGUAACAGUGACAGAAUUUUCAGAUAUUGCUUUCCACAGCUCACAGUAUAUUGUUUUUCCAUGGCUGGUUUCAGUUUAUACUGAGGCUCCCUCAAAACUCAUAAAAUUCCCUUUAAAACCUCAUAAAAUUUCACCUGUGGAUGUUUAUUGCCCACAGGAUUUGGGCUAUGUCCGUUUGGUUUUGAUAGAUUUACCAUUAUUAAACUCGGGUCCCCAUUCCCCCAGCCUUAUGAAGAUAGCUGCCCCCUGAUUUAGCACAGGGGGACUCUCCCCUUUGUCCCACAGUGAAGAAAUACUUCGGCUCCCUAGAAUUAAGCUUGGAUCAUGGGCAAUGAUUCUUAUUCCCAGCUUCCUGAGGGCCAGGAAUUUGCUCCAGCUUUGGGCAAUGACAUUUCUCCACGAAGGUCACCAAGGUCUCCUCACCCUCUUCAUGCUCUUCCCAGAUGCCAUUCCCAGGAAUUCAUCCAUGAGUGUCUGCUCAUGUACACAGAGAAUGGCAUUUGAGAGAUGAUCAGGAUGUUACAGAUGUUCCUGCUGAAAUAAAGGUCAAUUCUAAAGUACAUAACAAUAAUCCAAAGUAGUUCUUCCAGUGACCCCAGAUUCAUUUCCCUGGGACAUUCAACAUUGGUUCCAGUCCUACGUGACACUCCUAUAAACACUAGCAGAAAGAUAUCACAUCUCUCCUUUAACUUCUUUUCCAGGCCAAAUGCCACAACUUCGUUGCAUCUAACUUUAAGGACCUGGUUUCCAGAUUCCUAGCCAACCUGAUGGGUCUCCUUUGGGGUUUCCAUUUGGGUGUGCAUCUAACUUACACUGAAGUCAGGAAGUAUCUUUAGGAGUAGAUCUCAGAGUCUUGGUUACUCAAGAUCCUUCUUCCCAGGAGAAAGAAUGGACCUGGCUGUGGGGAGGAGCUUCCAGGCUAGGCAACAAAUGCUCAAGGUUUAUGGUAAAUUGAAACCCUGGCCAAGUAAAGUUCAACUCUGGAAAGUCCAAACAGGCAAAUAGAGUCCCAGACCAGAGAAUCCAGAACAAUCUGGGAGUCUAGGUCACAGAACCAGAAUCAAAGAAAAAGCCCAGAAAUACUAACUGGGGUAAUGGAAGAAGGAUGGGGUCACUGCAACUGGAAGUCACUUAAUUUCCCAAGCACCAUGUCCAGGGAAACUUGGUCCUGGGUAUGACUGACACGUGGGAGGCUCGGGGAGGAAGCUGGAGGAGUUGAGUCAAGAAUCGUUAUUUAAUUCUUCAACAGAAGGUAGGGCCAAAGCUAUUGACCUAUCCCUUGUCUGUAUUACGAGGAUUCAUUCCUUUGCUUGGAAUGGCAGACAUCCAACUUAUCUUGUCUUAAGCACAAAGGUUCUUAUAACUGCAAAAUAAGAAGGAGGGACACUCCUGCUUAAGGAACUGUUGGACCCAGAUGACUUUACUUCUCAGCUCUAAGUUGAUGUUCUUCUCAGGCAGAUGCUUCCAAGUGGUAGUUUCCGGCAGUGUUCAUUCACAUCCUCCCAGCUUCAAACUCAGCUGAAAAUGAACUAAUGUUUCCUAAGAAUUCUAAUAAAAAAAAAAUCCCAGAAUUGGGUCAUGUGCCCAUGUCUGGAAAGAGGUGGAUGUCUAACAGUGUAAGGCAGAGCAUGAUGGAGGGGUGGUUUCCCAGAAGAAGAUGAGGGAGGCUGGCGAUGUAGACUGCUAGAUGUGCACCAUUAUGCCUCACUCCAGAUUAGCUCUGGAUCUAGGGACACCAGGCCCAGGGUGGGGUGGUGAGCUAAGGGUGCUUGCCACUGGAAGCCCUCCUCUUGUCAAAACCCAACCCAGCAUGUCAGACAAGGUCCAACCAGUGAAGGGUGCCAAAGAGCCGCCUCCAUAUUCCAGGUCCUGUCCUUUAGCAAAAACCCAGGUCUGAAUUGCACAUGCCCUUCUCUAGCUUAGACACUCCUCCUGGACACUCAUGUAAUGCCCUCAAAUUCUCUGCAUAUGGAUUGUCAUUCAGGCAUUCUUUCCCACCCCUUUCUCAGC
rnacentral:lncRNA from 1 species